rfam:Myotis brandtii contig157510, whole genome shotgun sequence.
GCAAUUCAGCAGUUGACCACUCAGUUCAUGAGCCGAUGAAAAACACAGCUAACUGUGAGGAUUAACAUGAAUUGCAGGACACACUGAUCAUCAACACUUCAAACCAUACUUGCAGCCCUGUGU